rnacentral:rRNA from 1 species
CACGUAGUUAGCCGGUGCUUAUUCUUUAGGUACCGUCAGCAAAAAAGUGGUAUUAACACUUCUCUUUUCUUCCCUAACAAAAGUCCUUUACAACCCGAAGGCCUUCUUCAGACACGCGGCAUGGCUGGAUCAGGGUUGCCCCCAUUGUCCAAAAUUCCCCACUGCUGCCUCCCGUAGGAGUCUGGGCCGUGUCUCAGUCCCAGUGUGGCGGAUCAUCCUCUCAGACCCGCUACUGAUCGUCGCCUUGGUCGGGCCUUUACCCCACCAACUAGCUAAUCAGAUAUUGGCUGCUCAAAUAGCGCAAGGUCCGAAGACUCCCCUGUCCUUUCCCCCGUUAGGACGUAUCGGCGGUUAUUACGCAAUUCCUUUCGAUUUGGUACUCCCCGACUACUCGGUACACUUCCAAUAUGUUACUCUACCCGUUC